UGUGGAUAAAAGCUCUACUGAUAUUGUGAAAGAAAUAUUUGAAGCAGAGGCAAGUAAUAGAAUUUUCAGAAAACUUUCUUGCGCAUCAUGUCGAUCGGGCUUUCAUGGCCCUGCUCCACGAAAGAUGUCUUCCAACACAUCUGAAGGCCAGCAGAUUGGGCAAGACUGAUCCAUGUAUGCAGAUCACCUUGAGAAUUUGAUUAAAGAUUGCAACUAGUCGUUAUCAUAGACAAAUUAAAUGGAGGAGCUUUCCUUUCCCUCCUACCAAAAGGAGCAGGACUUACCCCACGGAGAAUUUGCAAGGACAGAAGCUGUGACUGCCAUGUAUCCGCUUACCUGGGAAUAAGUCUGACCUACUGAACUCAGUCCGAGUUACUUCUGAGUAAAUAUUUGCAACGAGCUCUGCAAAUACGGCCAGAGAUGGCACCCUCCCAGGAUGAAUAUAGCACGAAGCUUAAAAUGGAGAUGAACCGCAGGCAACCCGAUGCUCUCCAGAUGUUUUGGACUACAACUCCGAGAAUGCUUCGUGAUCGGAACGGGAGUUCUACUCCAAACCAUCAGGUGCGCAGGAGGUUCCCGAUCCCAUUCGGAUUACAGCCAUGUGCUUCGCCGCGCGCCGAUCCCGUACCCGCCUUGGUUCAGGUCCUGUCCACACGUUUCCUAUCCACGGUUCCGGCGCGUGGCGGUGCGCUUCGGGACCCGUCCCGUCCCGGUUUGGGCGCUGCUUCACCGGCACUCAGUUUUGCAGCCCAGAAGCCCCGCUAGGGAGCCUGCCUCGAGGCACCGGCUCCGCGGGCGAUCCCCCUGGGAGCCCGCCCGGCCCGCGCGU